CAGGUACAGAUGCAUUCUUCCUGAUUCUAAUGAGGACAACAGGCCCCAGGACCAGAUGAAAUACUGAACCUUCGAGGCUCAGAACUGGAGCGCUGCGUUCACCUUCUUCUGGCCAAGAAGGAGCACCCGGCACACAUUGAGGCAGAGCACAAGGGUCCAUGGCCAUGUCGAGAGCCAGAACCAGAGGAAGCGGAGCUCACAGCCAUGCAGACGUCACCAGAACAGGAAUGAGGCCCAGCAUGGAGGAUAGUGGUGGCUGCAGAGCUGGAGGCAACCCCAGCCAGAGCACCCACACCAGCACUGGAUCCACCUCGAGCUCUGCCACUGGCUCCAGGUCCCGGGCAAGAUGUAGCACCUGCUGUCGAGGAGGAUUCCGUGAUGGAAGCUCUUUUUGUGGCAUGUCCAGUGCCAGGAACCCCCUCUGCACCAGCUGCAGAACCUGAGCUUCCAAUGGUCCCACACCUUGCGCCAGCUCCUGUCCCACCUUCCCUGCCAGCUCCUGAGCACCUGACCCUGUCGCCUCUUGCCCCACAGCUAUCCUUCCCCUACUCUGCCAUUGUGUUUGUCUUCACUUUUGUCUCCGUUGUGCAUCUCCUCCAAGUUUUCUGUCUUUUCUCUAGUAGAUUUUCCUUGCAAUAGAAUAAAAUGUUUUAGUGUU